CGCUUGACAUCAUCGGGCAGAGCAUUGGAUUACAGCAGGCAGGGACUGACUCGGGGAGGAGAACACGCCCCUUGGCCCCACAAGUGCAACUUCAUUUAGCAGCUCCCGGCAGAAGGAAACUGCGAGUCUGGAACCGGCUGCGAGGCUCCCGGCCGGCUUGGCAGGAGGGCAGAGAGGGCAGGAAGGUGGGAUCCAGCCGCGAUCCCUUCAUCCAUCCAUCCCCUCCUCGGCGGCCGGACCGCGGGCUGGCUAAGCUGUUGUCCUGCUGUGCAUGAAGCGUGUUUGAAGUCAUGUCCAGAAGGAAAGUCCUCUAAAUCAGCAUUUUGCAAGUGAAU
rnacentral:lncRNA from 1 species